rnacentral:rRNA from 1 species
AUUGAACGCUGGCGGCAUGCCUUACACAUGCAAGUCGAACGGCAGCAUGAUCUAGCUUGCUAGAUUGAUGGCGAGUGGCGAACGGGUGAGUAAUACAUCGGAACGUGCCCUGUAGUGGGGGAUAACUAGUCGAAAGAUUAGCUAAUACCGCAUACGACCUGAGGGUGAAAGUGGGGGACCGCAAGGCCUCAUGCUAUAGGAGCGGCCGAUGUCUGAUUAGCUAGUUGGUGAGGUAAAGGCUCACCAAGGCGACGAUCAGUAGCUGGUCUGAGAGGACGAUCAGCCACACUGGGACUGAGACACGGCCCAGACUCCUACGGGAGGCAGCAGUGGGGAAUUUUGGACAAUGGGCGAAAGCCUGAUCCAGCAAUGUCGCGUGUGUGAAGAAGGCCUUCGGGUUGUAAAGCACUUUUGUCCGGAAAGAAAUGGCUCUGGUUAAUACCUGGGGUCGAUGACGGUACCGGAAGAAUAAGGACCGGCUAACUACGUG